rnacentral:rRNA from 1 species
UACGUAGGGGGCAAGCGUUGUCCGGAUUUAUUGGGCGUAAAGAGCGUGUAGGCGGUUCGGUAGGUCCGUUGUGAAAACUCGAGGCUCAACCUCGAGACGCCGAUGGAAACCCCCGAACUAGAGUCCGGAAGAGGAGAGUGGAAUUCCUGGUGUAGCGGUGAAAUGCGCAGAUAUCAGGAAGAACACCCGUGGCGCAAGCGCCCAUCUGGCCAUGACCUGACGCUGUGGCACGAAAGCGUGGGGAGCGAACCGG